ACGUGGGUAGUUCAAUUGGUAGAGCAGCGGUCUCCAAAACCGCCUGUUGCUGGUUCGAGUCCGGCUCCACGUGCCA
rnacentral:tRNA from 1 species